UACGUAGGGGGCAAGCGUUGUCCGGAUUUAUUGGGCGUAAAGAGCUCGUAGGUGGUUUGGUAAGUCGGAUGUGAAAUCUCCAGGCUCAACCUGGAGGGGUCAUUCGAUACUGCCAUGACUAGAGGUCGGUAGGGGAGUGUGGAAUUCCUGGUGGAGCGGUGAAAUGCGCAGAUAUCAGGAGGAACACCGGUGGCGAAGGCGGCGACCUGGGUAGAUACUGACGCUGAGGUGCGAAAGCGUGGGGAGCAAACAGG
rnacentral:rRNA from 1 species